UUCGACCGUGCAAAGGUAGCAUAAUCAUUUGCCUUAUAAUUGAAGGCUAGUAUGAAUGGUUUGACAAGAAUGAAGCUGUCUCUUUAUAAUUUAAUAGAAUUUUAUUUUUAGGUGAAGAAGCCUAUAUAAAAUUAAAAGACAAGAAGACCCUAUCGAGCUUUAAAAGAAUUAAUAGAAUUAAUUAAUUAAUAUUGAUAAAAAAUUAUCUAUUAAAUAUUUUAGUUGGGGCGACUGAGGAACAUAAGAAGCUUCCUUUAAUAAAAUUAAAUAAAUCAAACUAGAAUUGAUCCAAAACAUUUUGAUUAAAGAAAUUAGUUACCGUAGGGAUAACAGCAUUAUCUUUUUUAAGAGCUCAUAUCGAAAAAAAGGUUUGUGACCUCGAUGUUGGACCAGAAUAUCCUAAAGGUGCAGCAGUCUAAGGCU
rnacentral:rRNA from 1 species